rnacentral:rRNA from 1 species
UACGGAGGGUGCGAGCGUUGUCCGGAAUCAUUGGGCGUAAAGGGCGCGUAGGUGGCCCGGUCAGCGUGCGGUGAAAGCUCGGGGCUCAACCCCGAGUCGGCCGUGCGAACUGCUGGGCUGGAGCACUGUAGAGGCAGGCGGAAUUCCUGGUGUAGCGGUGGAAUGCGCAGAUAUCAGGAGGAACACCGGUGGCGAAGGCGGGUCUCUGGGCAGUAACUGACGCUGAGGAGCGAAAGCGUGGGGAGCGAACAGG